GUGCUCACUUCAGCAGCCCAGAGACUAAAAUUGGAACAACACAGGGAAGAUUAGCAUUGCUCCCUAUGGAUGGCAUGCAAAUUCAUGAAGUGUCCCAUAUAACU
ensembl:snRNA U6 U6 spliceosomal RNA